rnacentral:rRNA from 1 species
GACGAACGCUGGCGGCGUGCUUAACACAUGCAAGUCGAACGGAAAGGCCCGGCUCUUGUGGGUCGGUUGUUUGCGGAAGGGGGGUGUAUCACGCGUGUAACCUCCCCUUGUCUUUGGGGUAACUCUAGGAAACAGGGGAGAUAACCGCGUAGAAUCUCUUGCACCGCGGGGGGGGUUGGAGAGUUUCGGCGGUGGUGGAUGGACUCGAGGCUUAUCCGCUGGUUGGGGGGGUAGUGACUUACCAGGCCUUUGACGGGUAGCCGGCAUGAGAGGGUUGCCGGCCACAUUGGGCCUGAGAUACGGCCCAGUCUCCUACGGGAGGCAGCAGUGGGGAAUAUUGCGCAGUGGGCGGACGCGUGAUGCAGCAACGCCGCGUGCGGGAUGACGGCUUUCGGGUUGUAAACCGCUUUCGCCUGUGCCGAAGCGUGAGUGACGGUAAUGGGUAAGGAAGCACCGGCUAACUACGUG